UUGCCCCUUCCUCCUCCCUCUGCCUGCCGACCCAAUUCCCUCCCUUCCUUAUGGGAGGGGCGGAAUUGACCCGCUAUAAAUGGAACCAUCGCACCGCUCGAUCCCCAGUGGGAAAUAGGUCCAAACUUAAUUUUAAAGUCCGCUCGAUUCUAUAGAAAGGCCUGCCGUCCAUUAGUUGGUGGUGGGUAAGAUUUACCAAGACGAAGAUCCUACCCGACUGAAGAGUGACCCGGCCCCAUGGGAUUGAGACCCGCCCAAACUCGUAGGGGAGCAGCAGUAGGUAUUUUGCGCAGUGGGGAAUCUCCUGACCGAGCAGCGCGCGUAGAAUGACGAAGCACUUCGAUGAGUAAGUUUUUUUGAUAAGGAAGAUUUUUAUAUAUAGGAAAUGAUAUGUAAGUGACGGUACUUAAUGAAUCAGCCCCGGCUAAUUAUGUGCCAGCAGCCGCUGUAAUACAUAGGGGCCAAGUGUUCUCCGGAAUUAUUGGGCGUAAAGGGUGAGUAGGCGGUAGAUUAUGUCUGUGGUGUAAGUGCAGUGCUUAACGCUGUGAUGCUAAAGAAACUGGUUUACUAGAGUUAGAUAGAGGCAAGUGGAAUUCCAUGUGUAGCGGUAAAAUGCGUAAAUAUGUGGAGGCACACCAGUGGCGAAGGCGGCUUGCUGGGUCUAUACUGACGGUGAGGCACGAAAGCGUGGGGAGCAAACAGGAUUAGAUACCCUGGUAGUCCACGCCGUAAGCGAUGAGUACUAAGUGUGGGAGAACUUCAGUGCUGUAGUUAACGCAAUAAGUACUCCGCAUGAGUAGUACGUACGCAAGUAUGAAACUCAAAGGAAUUGACGGGACCCCGCACAAGCGGUGGAUCAUGUUGUUUAAUUCGAAGAUACGCGAAGAACCUUACCAGGUCUUGACAUACCCAGCAAAGCUAUAGAGAUAUAGUGGAGGUUAUCUGAGACACAGGUGGUGCAUGGUUGUCGUCAGCUCGUGUCGUGAGAUGUUGGGUUAAGUCCCGCAACGAGCGCAACCCUUAUUGCUAGUUACCAUCAUUAAGUUGGGGACUCUAGCGAGACUCCCAGUGAUAAACUGGAGGAAGGUGGGGAUGACGUCAUAUCAUCAUGCCCCUUAUGACCUGGGCCACAAACGUGAUACAAUGGGUGACACAAAGGGCAGCAAGAUAGUGAUAGUAAGCGAAACCCAUAAAAGCAUUCUCAGUUCGGAUUGAUGUCUGCAACUAGAUUUCAUGAAGCGGGAAUCGCUAGUAAUCGCGAAUCAGAACGUCGCGGUGAAUACGUUCUCGGGGUUUGUACACACCGCCCGUCAACCCGCGAAAGUCAGCUAAUACCCAACGCCGGGGCCUAACCGUAAUGACGGCACCC
rnacentral:rRNA from 1 species